rnacentral:rRNA from 1 species
CCUACGGGAGGCAGCAGUGAGGAAUAUUGGGCAAUGGGGGCAACCCUGACCCAGCCAUGCCGCGUGAGUGAAGAAGGUCUUCGGAUUGUAAAGCUCUUGCGGACGUGACGAGGAUGACGGUAGCGGCGAAAGAAGAACCGGCAAACGUCGGGCCAGCAGCCGCGGUAAUACGAAGGGGGCGAGCGUGGUUCGGAAUUACUGGGCGUAAAGGGAGUGUAGGCGGAUCGGGAAGCGCGCGGGGAAAUGCCGGGGCUCAACCCCGGAACGGCCAUUCGGACUAUGUAUCUAGAGUAAUGGAGCGGUUAGCGGACUCCCCCGUGUAGAGGUGCACUUCGUCGCUAUUGGGUAGAACACCGGUGGCGAAGGCGGCUCUCUGGCCAUUUCCUGCCGCUGAGGCUCGAAAGCCUGGGGAUCAAACCGGCUUAGCUACCCCUGUAGUC